GUUAGUUCCAGCGUGACAUUGGAGAGCACAAAAAGCUUCAGCUUAGUUCCAGCAAUUCACCAUCACACUCGAAAAACAAGCAAACUCCUCCGAUUUGAAUUUGUGAAUUUGUGGUUUCCUUCACCUGAGUUCCUCCGAUUUGAAUCUCUCAUCUCAAACUCUGAGCUCCGAACUUCAAUUUAAUCCCCAGAGAGAGAUUGAUCCGAGCUCAAAACUCUCCGACAUCGUCGUAGCAGCAUCCCUCGCGAUCUCCUCCGCUUGAGAUCAAAAUUUUGGUGCGACCUUUUCAUUUCUCCUCUAAUUUCAUAUAUAAUUUAUCUAUUUAUAACCAUUAUUCUAUCAUUUUAUUGAAGCUCUGCUUUGGUGCAUUGUAAUUGAAGCUCUACUUUCGAAUUGAAGUCCAGUCUCACAGUAGCCAUUCUAAGUAGUAAGUUUCUCAAUCUCCUUCCUUGACUAUUUUCUAUGAUUUUUGUGAAAUUGUUUGAUUCUAGUUUUUGAAUUGGAAUUUCUGGUUAAUUAAGCAAACUCGACUGCAAAUGAAACUUUCAAUUUAAAUUUUGAAUGGGGAUUUUAGGUUGUCCUUUUCUUUUGUUUUGCUGCAAUUGUAUAUGAAUUUUUUGUUGAUUUAUAGUUCUACAAAAUUAAGCUCGAAAUUAUACAAUUUCUUUGUUUUUAGCUUGUUAGUUUUGAAAUGGACAAGAGUUGGAUUAAUGCGCCAAGGGUUAGUGAUGUUUAUAAGAGUGGAUGUGAGUCAUUCAUACAAUUUGCCAUGG
rnacentral:lncRNA from 1 species